CUUUCAGUAGGGUGUUUGCUGC
rnacentral:miRNA from 1 species